CCUUGCCAGCCCGCUCAGAAACUCAAAGGAAGUUGACGGGGCCGGCACAAGCGGAGGAGCAUGUGGUUUAAUUCGAUGAUACGCGAGGAACCUUACCUGGGCUCGAACGUAAGAUGACUGUAGGUGAAAGCUUACAUCUCUUCGGAGCAUUUUACGAGGUGCUGCAUGGUUGUCGUCAGCUCGUGCCGUGAGGUGUCGGGUUAAGUCCCAUAACGAGCGCAACCCCUACCUUUAGUUGCCAUCAGGUAAUGCUGGGGACUCUAAAGGAACUGCCUACGCAAGUAGUGAGGAAGGCGGGGAUGACGUCAAAUCAGCACGGCCCUUACGUCCAGGGCUACACACGUGCUACAAUGGCCGAUACAGAGGGCAGCUACCUGGUGACAGGAUGCAAAUCUCCAAAGUCGGUCUCAGUUCGGAUCGGAGUCUGCAACCCGACUCCGUGAAGUUGGAUUCGCUAGUAAUCGCGCAUCAGCCAUGGCGCGGUGAAUACGUUCCCGGGCCUU
rnacentral:rRNA from 1 species